rnacentral:rRNA from 1 species
GUCUACGGCCACGCCACCCUGAACAAGUCCGAUCCCGUCUGAUCUCGGAAGCUAAGCAGGGUCGGGCCUGGAUAGUACUUGGAUGGGAGACCGCCUAGGAAGACCAGGUGCUGUAGGUG